CUGGCGGCGUGCUUAACACAUGCAAGUUGAACGGUCCGGCAUGGAAGCUUGCUGAAGUGUCGGGUAGUAGCGGACGGGUGAGUAAUGCAUGAGAAGCUGCCAUUGGGAGGGGGACAACAGUUGGAAACGGCUGCUAAUACCCCAUAUGCCGGAAGGUGAAACGGAGUAAUCCGCCCGAUGAGGUGCUCAUGUCCUAUCAGCUUGUUGGUGAGGUAACGGCUCACCAAGGCGACGACGGGUAGCCGGCCUGAGAGGGUGACCGGCCACACUGGAACUGAGAUACGGUCCAGACUCCUACGGGAGGCAGCAGUGGGGAAUAUUGGGCAAAAUGGGGGGCAACCCUGACCCAGCGACGCCGCGUGAGGGAAGACGGCCUUCGGGUUGUAAACCUCUUUUGUACGGGAAGAAGGACGUGACGGUACCGUGCGAAUAAGUCCCGGCUAACUACGUGCCAGCCGCCGC
rnacentral:rRNA from 1 species